rnacentral:tRNA from 2 species
GGCCUUAUCGUCAAGCGGUUAAGACAUGGUGUUUUCAUCACUACAUCGAGGGUUCGAUCCCCUCUGAGGCUA